rnacentral:ncRNA from 1 species
CACAGGUUUGGUCCUAGCCUUAGUAUUAAUUUAUGUUAUAAUUAUACAUGCAAGUUUCAACUCACCAGUGAGAAUGCCCCUUAUUGCCAAAAAGCAAUCACGGAGCUGGUAUCAGGCACAAACAGCCCACAACACCUUGCUAGGCCACACCCUCACGGGAAAUCAGCAGUAAUAAACCUUGAACAAUAAGUGAAAACUUGAUUCAGCAAUAACUUUAUGAGCCGGUCAAUCUCGUGCCAGCCACCGCGGUUAUACGAAAGACUCUAAUUAAUAUUAGCGGCCCAAAGAGCAGUUAAAGAAAACAAUUAAUAAAAUUAAAAUAUUGCUUGGCUGUCAUACGCAUAAACAAAUAAUAAAUUCAUAAACAAAAGUUAUUUUAAUACCCUUGAAUCUGCCACAGUUGAGAAACAAACUGGGAUUAGAUACCCCACUAUGCUCAACCACAAACUUUGGAUCACCCGCCAGAGCACUACGAGCCUUAGCUUAAAACUCAAAGGACUUGGCGGUGCUUUACACCCCCUAGAGGAGCCUGUUCUAUAAUCGAUAACCCCCGAUCAACCUCACCGUCACUUGCUAAUACAGCCUAUAUACCACCGUCCCCAGCUAACCCCUUAAAGGAAUAAUAGUCAGCAAAAUAAUUUAUAAUUUAAAAGUCAGGUCAAGGUGUAGCAUAUGCAACGGGAAGAAAUGGGCUACAUUUUUUUUAAAAAUACAGAACAACCAAUGAAACUAAAUGCAAAGAUGGAUUUAGUAGUAAAAAGAAAAAGAACAUUCUUUUUAAAUGGGCAAUAAAGCACGCACACACCGCCCGUCACCCUCAUCAAACUAAAACCCAUUAAAUAAAUCACCAACAGUUUAAGAAGAGGAAAGUCGUAACAUGGUAAGCCUACCGGAAGGUGGUCUUGGACAU